CUGGCGGCUAGCCAGGGAACCACGUUCUCCAAACUUUGGUUUUACCUUUCAGGCCUGAAGAGCUUGACCCUUUCUCUUCGUCUAAUUACAAGCGUCUUUUUCCUUCCAAACUCUGCCCUGUCCUGCCAUAAUUCUCUAGUGCCUUGAGUUGGGUAGAUCCAUGUGGGCCUUGAACCCCUCAAUUAUUUGACCGUGAGGUUUCUGUUUUAUUCACCUAACAACCAUUCCUACUCAUCCUUCAAAUCCCUCAUAGACAUAACACAUAUACAUACACAUAAAUGUAUACCUGUAUAUGUUAUGUGUGCAUAACAUUCAGUUCAGUUCAGUCGCUCAGUCAUGUCUGACUCUUUGUGACCUCAGGCCUCCCCAUCCAUCACUAACUCCCAGAGCUUGCUCACACUCACAGUCCAUUGAGUUGGGAUAACAUCCAACUAUCUUAUCCUCUGUCGUCCCCUUCUCCUCUUGACUUCAAUCUUUCCUAGCAUCAAGGUCUUUUCCAAUGAGUCAGUUCUUCGCAUCAGGUGGUCAAAGUAUUGGAGUUUCAGCUUCAGCAUCAGGACUUCCAACAAAUAUUCAGGACUGAUUUCCUUUAGGAUGGACUGGUUUGAUCUCCUUGCCGUCCAAGGGACUCUCAAGAGUCUUCUCCAACACCACAGUUCAAAAGCAUCAAUUCUUUGGCGCUCAGCUUUCUUUAUAGUCCAACUCUCACAUCCAUACAUGACUGGUUGAGUGCUGUCUACGAGCUGGAUGCUGGGUUGGGAGCAGUACAUACAUGGCUUCGUUUAAUGCUCUGAAGAACUCCACGCUACUGGCACCACUGUCUGCAUUUUCUGGAGGAAGAAAUGGAGGUAGAAAGAGAGAUGAAGUGACUUGCCGGAGGUCCCUUGUUGGUGAGUGAUGAAGCUGGCGUUCAUGUCCGAGUCAAUCAGACAACAAAGCAAUGCUUGUGCUGGCUGCAUGAUGCCUCUCCAGCGCAUUUCUGGAACUCUGCUUUGCCCCUCUAGAGCUUUCCAAAUUUUUAAAACCAAGUCUUCGACUUCCCUGGUGGUCUGGGGGUUAAGAAUUCACCGGCCAAGGCAGGGGACAUGGGUUCAAUCCCUGGUCUGGCAAGAGUGCACAUGCUGCAGAGGCCAGUGCACCACAGCUGCUGAACCUGAGCCCCUAGAGCCUGUGCUCCCCAACAAGAGACGCCACUGCAGUGAGAAGCCUGCACACUGCAAUGAAGAGUAGUCCCCACUGUCCGCAACUAGGGAAAGAAUGCGGCAAUGAAGACCCAGUGCAGCCAAAAUAAAUGAGUAAAUAAUUAAAUUAAAAAAAAAAAAACAAAAAAAAAGUUAAAUAAAAUCAAGUCCUG
ensembl:lncRNA